CUCCCAUCCUCCUUGCACAUCUGCCCCUCAUCUCAGGGCAGUGGAAUCCAGCACCCACCAUCCAGACUGGAUUCACUCUCCACCUCAGCUGUUAUUCCUUAAUAUCUCUCCACAUCAGUUUUGGGUAUGACAACAACACAUGAACGAAAGUGUAGAGCCUAGAACCCAGUAGGUAAUAGAUAGUGAAAGAUGGAUGGAGAACUAGAUAUUCAUGGGGAAUAUAUUCUUCAUGAAAGACAUCAGCUGCAGACAGGAAAGGAAAUUGCAGCAUUGCCUGAAAAGCAACGUUAGCAAGUUCUGACAGCUUGUUAAAAGCCGUGACCAAAGGCAGGGUGAUGCACAUCGAUCACCCGUGACAGGGACCUCGUGGAGCUUGGCCUGGGCUGGCCCUUGGCCAUAUCUCUGAGCAUAGUGAUGUUAUUACCACUUGUAUUUCUGCUGGCAGGAAGCUCCUGCCUACAGCUGCAAACCAAUAUAAACUCCAACUUUCUGGGUCAUCAGAAAUGUAAUGGACAAAGUGCUCUCCGCAGUUACCUCAUCCAUAAGAUAACUGCUAAAGCACGAACACUGUGGCAAAACUUGUUCACUGUCCCUUCUUUGCUGCUUCUCCCUUCUUUUUAAACACUUCAUUUCACAAACAUUUCAUUGCAUAAACAUGGAGCAGAGCAAGGCUUAAUGGGAACGGGUUUGAAUUAGUAAACAGCAGAGGAGAAAAUAUCCAAAAGAACUGGGAAUCUAGAAUGGGAUAAAAGUUCUUCUCCAAAAGGGUUGUCCAGUCCUAGAGGGAUUUAAAGGCCCU